UCCGUAGGUGGCGAGCGUUAUCCGGAUUUACUGGGCGUAAAGCGCUUGUAGGCGGCUUCGUAAGUUGGGCGUGAAAGCUCUGGGCUUAACCCGGAGAGGCCGUCCAAUACUGCGGAGCUCGAGGGUGCCAGAGGAAGGUGGAAUUCCUGGUGUAGCGGUGAAAUGCGGAGAUAUCAGGAGGAACACCCGUGGCGGAGGCGGCUUUCUGGGGCAUUCCUGACGCUGAGAAGCGAAAGCUAGGGGAGAAAACAGG
rnacentral:rRNA from 1 species